UUCCCAGACUCCUACGGGAGGCAGCAGUGAGGAAUAUUGGUCAAUGGGCGGAAGCCUGAACCAGCCAAGUCGCGUGAGGGAAUAAGGCCCUACGGGUCGUAAACCUCUUUUGCCGGGGAGCAAGGGCGGGGACGUGUCCCGGCCCGGAGAGUACCCGGAGAAAAAGCAUCGGCUAACUCCGUGCCAGCAGCCGCGGUAAUACGGAGGAUGCGAGCGUUAUCCGGAUUUACUGGGUGUAAAGGGCGUGUAGCCGGGCUGACAAGUCAGAUGUGAAAACUCAGGGCUCAACCCUGAGCCUGCAUUUGAAACUGUGUUUCUUGAGUGCUGGAGAGGCAAUCGGAAUUCCGUGUGUAGCGGUGAAAUGCGUAGAUAUACGGAGGAACACCAGUGGCGAAGGCGGAUUGCUGGACAGUAACUGACGCUGAGGCGCGAAAGCGUGGGGAGCAAACAGGAUUAGAUACCCUUGUAC
rnacentral:rRNA from 1 species